UACGAAGGGGACUAGCGUUGUUCGGAAUUACUGGGCGUAAAGCGCACGUAGGCGGAUUUGUUAGUCAGGGGUGAAAUCCCGGGGCUCAACCUCGGAACUGCCUUUGAUACUGCAAGUCUCGAGUCCGAUAGAGGUGGGUGGAAUUCCAGGUGUAGCGGUGAAAUGCGUAGAUAUCGAGAGGAACACCUGCGGCGAAGGCGGGUUGCUGGGCUGAUACUGACGCUGAGGCGCGAAAGCCAGGGGAGCGAACGGG
rnacentral:rRNA from 1 species